AUGCUUGGGGCUGAGAACAUUCAAGCCAAAGAUGCUAUUGAGUUCUAUGGAGACUUUGAUGGGAGCUUUAACAAAAGUUUGGAAUUAACUACUGAUCUAUCUGCUGGUUUGCUUGGAAUUCGAUCUGAAAGAUGGUCAGCAUAUGUAGUAGAUGGAAAAGUGAAGGCUCUUAAUGUUGAAGAAUCUCCAUCUGAUGUCAAAGUUUCUGGAGCUGAGACCAUUUUGGGACAAAUUUGA